CUCCACCUACGGGGGGCAGCAGUAGGGAAUCUUCCACAAUGGACGAAAGUCUGAUGGAGCAACGCCGCGUGAGUGAAGAAGGGUUUCGGCUCGUAAAACUCUGUUGGUAGUGAAGAAAGAUAGAGGUAGUAACUUGCCUUUAUUUGACGGUAAUUACUUAGAAAGUCACGGCUAACUACGUGCCAGCAGCCGCGGUAAUACGUAGGUGGCAAGCGUUGUCCGGAUUUAUU
rnacentral:rRNA from 1 species